GCCUAAAGCGUCCGUAGCCUGUUUUGUCAGUUUUCGGUUAAAUCCAUACGCUCAACGUAUGGGCUGCCGGAAAUACUGCAAAACUAGGGAGUGGGAGAGGUAGACGGUACUCGGGAGGAAGGGGUAAAAUCCUUUGAUCUCUCGAUGACCACCUGUGGCGAAGGCGGUCUACCAGAACACGUCCGACGGUGAGGGAUGAAAGCUGGGGGAGCAAACCGGAUUAGAUACCCGGGUAGUCCCAGCUGUAAACUAUGCAAACUCAGUGAUGCAUUGGCUUGUGGCCAAUGCAGUGUUGCAGGGAAGCCGUUAAGUUUGCCGCCUGGGAAGUACGUACGCAAGUAUGAAACUUAAAGGAAUUGGCGGGGGAGCACCACAAGGGGUGAAGCCUGCGGUUCAAUUGGAGUCAACGCCAGAAAUCUUACCCGGAGAGACAGCAGAAUGAAGGUCAAGCUGAAGACUUUACCAGACAAGCUGAGAGGUGGUGCAUGGCCGUCGCCAGCUCGUGCCGUGAGAUGUCCUGUUAAGUCAGGUAACGAGCGAGAUCCCUGCCUCUAGUUGCCACCAUUACUCUCAGGAGUAGUGGGGCGAAUUAGCGGGACCGCCGCAGUUAAUGUGGAGGAAGGAAGGGGCCACGGCAGGUCAGUAUGCCCCGAA
rnacentral:rRNA from 1 species